GGCUAAUCUGCCCUUAGGACGAGACCAACCCCNGGGAAACUGGGGCUAACUCUUGAUAGGCGAAGAACUCUGGAAUGAGUCUUUACCUAAAUAGAUUCACGUUAUCCUCGUGAACCUGCCUAAGGAUGAGGCCGCGACCGAUCAGGUUGUUGGCGAGGUAAUGGCUCACCAAGCCUUUUACCGGUGCGGGCCGUGGGAGCGGGAGCCCGGAGAUGGGUACUGAGACAAGGACCCAGGCCCUACGGGGCGCAGCAGUCGCGAAACCUUUGCAAUAAGCGAAAGCUUGACAGGGCUAUCCCGAGUGCCAUCCGCUGAGGAAGGCUUUUACCCAGUCUAGAACGCUGGGGGAAUAAGGAGAGGGCAAGUCUGGUGUCAGCCGCCGCGGUAAUACCAGCUCUCCGAGUGGUGUGGAUGUUUAUUGGGCCUAAAGCAUCCGUAGCUGGCUAGGUAAGUCCCUUGUUAAAUCCACCGAAUUAAUCGUUGGAUCGCGGGGGAUACUGCUUGGCUAGGGGACGAGAGAGGCAGACGGUAUUUUCGGGGUAGGGGUGAAAUCCUAUAAUCCCGGGAAGACCACCAGUGGCGAAGGCUGUCUGCUAGAACGCGCCCGACGGUGAGGGAUGAAAGCUGGGGGAGCGAACCGGAUUAGAUACCCGGGUAGUCCCAGCUGUAAACGAUGCAGACUAGGUGUUUGGACGGCCACGUGCCGUUCUAGUGCCGCAGGGAAGCUGUUAAGUCUGCCGCCUGGGGAGUACGAUCGCAAGAUUGAAACUUAA
rnacentral:rRNA from 1 species